GUUGUAUGUUUCCAGGUCCAUACUUUCUACCCUGCCCCACUCUGUGGUUCAAAACGCCGAAGUCGAUCUCAAACUGAACUCUGGAUUUGCCAAAGGUUUCUUCACUGGUGGGGCUACGUUCUUGUGUGUUGCUGGAAUAACAUACCAUCUCUUGAAAGCAUUUGGAGGGUCAUCUGUCAGACGGAGAUAUUUCCGUGGGAAAUCAAAAUCCAAGGACACACGCCCGGGAGAUGUCAAACAUGAAGCUCAGGAACCCAAGCUGAGCACUCAGAGCCUCGUCCUGACGCCCAAGAUCUGCACCCC